rnacentral:rRNA from 1 species
AUUGAACGCUGGCGGCGUGCUUUACACAUGCAAGUCGAGCGGCAGCGCGACCCUCGGGUUGGCGGCGAGCGGCGAACGGGUGAGUAAUACAUCGGAACGUACCUUAUAGUGGGGGAUAACUCAUCGAAAGAUGAGCUAAUACCGCAUAAUCUCUGAGGAGGAAAGGCGGGGAUCGCAAGACCUGUCGCUGUAAGAGCGGCCGAUGGCUGAUUAGCUAGUUGGAGGGGUAAAGGCCCACCAAGGCGAUGAUCAGUAGCUGUUCUGAGAGGAAGAUCAGCCACACUGGGACUGAGACACGGCCCAGACUCCUACGGGAGGCAGCAGUGGGGAAUUUUGGACAAUGGGGGCAACCCUGAUCCAGCAACGCCGCGUGAAUGAAGAAGGCCUUAGGGUUGUAAAGUUCUUUUGUCUGGGAGCAAAAGUUAGGUGCUAAUAUCACCUAAAUAUGAGAGUACCAGAAGAAUAAGCACCGGCUAACUACGUGCC